GUGCUAUGAUGAUGCAAAUUCAACACAUCAUUCUGAUAUUGCUGUGAUGAGAGCACUUUCCAAGCACUGAGCACA